UACUAGUUAUGAAAGAAAUUAUGACUUUAUCAGAUUUGUUGACAAAACCCUACUUCUCUGCAACUCUUCUAUGCUUAAAAAAUUCGUGCUUGAUUUCGAUUACAUGUCGGAAUUCGCUUCCAAUAUCAACUCAUGGACUCUAUUCGUCUUGCCACAGGAAUUGUUUACCAAUUCAUCCUUCAGAGAAUUGCGUUUUUCCUUGUGCAGCUUGAUGCCCAAAGGAGUUGUUUGCUGGAAAUUGCUGAAGACAUUGUCAAUUGGGCAUGUCAAGUUGAAUGAUGGUGUGAUUGACAAGAUAUUAGAGGGUAGUCCUGUAUUGGAGAAUUUAGAAUUGUAUUACUUUUAUGGCUUCACUCGUUUGCAUGUUAGCAAAGCAAAUCUGAAAAUUUUGAUCUUGAGAGAAUUUUGGGAAUUGAUGGACAUCUAUGAAGGCGACGGUGGAAUAUUUAAAUCCUCGAAUAGUGAAGGAUUAUUUCUGUUUGCAACUUUGCCAUUCAAUUCAUAAAAAAAAAUUGUGCAUAUAUCUUAAAUUAGGAUGGUAUAGUAAUGGUUAGUACGAACUGUUAGUCUAUGGCAUGGGUAGCGCCCAUGGCGAAGCCAUAUUGCCAACGUCUAUAAAUUAUUGAAAAAAAUGUUCCUUUUCGUUCCCUAGUGUUCCUGCAGUUGCAAAUGUUUUCAUAUUUUGUCCAUCUUUUGCGCUUGUUUUUUUGUGCUAAAUGAUGUUUAUUAUCAAAGUCCAUUGUUGUCGAUUACAAUCAAUAUUAUUCUUAGGUUUCAACUAAGCUGAUCCUAUCCUUUGUGGUUACUUUUGCUCCAAUGUAAGGAGUGAUUGUUUGUGAUACAUGAUUUGAAAAUUAAACUCAGCUGAAGAAAUUCCAUCUAGUUUGUUCAUUUUUUUAAACGCAAUAUUUUUAUGGUAAGGUCUGCGAAACAAUGUGCUAGAAUCUUCUAAUUGGUUUCAUCUUUUUUUUUAUUUAUUUAUUUAAUUUGUUUUGCAUUUUGCUUAUGAUGGAAAAAGGUAAUGUCAAUAAUGGAAAUGAAAGGUUUAUGUUCUCCACUGUCAAAGUGUGAAUGUUUAACACUACGUACAUGCAUUGCGAAAUCUGUCCUCCCUGGAAUAGCAAGCCUCUUGGAAAGUUCCUCUCAUCUAGACGACAUUAGUGAUAAUCUCAACGUUCUCUUCGUGCCCUUCCCAGAAGGAGAUUUCAGUUUAUUGAAUUCUUCAUCUGCCGUGGUUUUGGAACAUUCUCACCUUCACCCACCUUUUUGAUGUUGAUGGGGAGAACUACUGGACAUCACAAAAGAGGACUUUUAAGUGUUUGAUGUUGCAUCUCAAAAUAGUUAAGUUUACUCGUUCAAGUCAGAUAUACUGUUGCGUGGACUUCUUUUUUCUGCAAUUUCUAUUGAAGAAUGCGAGGGUGCUGCAAAAGAUGUUUAUCCAUAACCCGGCAAUCAGACGUGGCCUAAGGGGAGACAAUACAGUGCCGAUGGAACUUUUCCAAGAAGCUCAAAAGCUUUUAAGUUUUCCAAGAAUCUCUCCUGAUGCGGUAGUGAUGUUCGAUUAGUGAAAUGGAAAACUCAAGUAAUUCGCUUUCUCAGUGGAAACACUACUGUUUUUUCCUUUGAUUACGAUUUUGUUCUGUUUGACUUUUGAAGCAGGCUAUACUUCAUUGGAUAUUAUUUUGUUUAUAUCUAAUGGCAGAACUUUAGAAACUCUGUUA